GCCGCCUGCCGCCGCUCGAGGCCCGGGGAGCCCCGCGGGGUGUCCCCGCGCUUAGGGCGGCGGGGCUGCCUGCCGUCGGCCCGGCUGGAGGCGUUGCGUGUGCCCGGGAGGACGAGGCGCCCCGGGGGACGGCCGCUCGGCCCCUCGCGAAGCACGGCACCGACCCACCGGACCUGGCGGCGGCGGGAGCUGCCCAGACACCGGCCCAAAGUCGCGCCUGGAACCAGCGGGGCUUCACGCUUCAGGUCACCGAACUUCAGCCAAGUGUUACCGGAGCCGCACGGUACCCAUCCCGGCGCAGCGACUGAUCCCCGCCUUCCCUAAAGUGACAGGUGAACAAAUCACAGGUCUUGAGUUUCUCUACCCUGCCUCUCUUGGUAACGUCAUCUCCAGUACCAUCUGCUACCUACCAGACAAACAGACCAACCACAUAAUGAGGUACCAGCUUCCACCCAGCUACCGUGACUAAAUCAGAACAAAAGAUUCAACGCCUCCUUCAACAAAGGAACACAAGUCUAAGCUGUCUUUGCUAAUUGCUGGGUUUCAGGUUGUCUGUUACAGAUUUUAAGUGAGCUACAAACUUCCAUCAGAUACUUAGAGCUGUUGGAUAAAGGUACUAAGAAUGAAAGAUAAAUGGAAGCAAAAGGCAAUGAUGUUGUUCUCCUAAAAUGUGAGACAGUUUGCUUCUUGUCAGCAAGUGGAGCUCAGCUCAGCUCUUCAUCUCCCUGAGCUGCUGGAGACAGACUAGCAUGCUUCAGAUUUACUUGCUCGAUAGACUGACUUGAAAUGAUUCUGGGAAAUGAUUGCUCCAUUCAUAUAUCACUUUUUGCGCUUCUUGUAUACCAAGUGAGACACUUUGGGUGAUUUUAAAGUGAAAGAAAAUAAUAAAAUAAGCUUAUUAACAAACACCAUUCAGUUUAAAAAUAGGACAUUUCUUGUCACAGAUGCUGUCCCCAAACUGGAAAUGAGCGUAUUAAUAAAUAUGUUUUUAGUAUUCCAGGGUAAGAAAUGUUUAGUAUCUGUUUCUUUUUCUAAAUGAUUGCUGUCCUUACCCAGUAAGUGCAAAAAUGGUGCGUGAGUCACAGGAAAUUUAAGUGGUUUGUCUUGGGAAGAUUUGGUGGUAUGCAUUUUUUUGACGCACAUAGAGCUGUUGAAUGAAUAAUUGGCAACCUAUUUAAUGUCCUUUGCUUUAAAGCUGUCGAGUACAUUUGCUGUUUAAAAAAUGUCUUUCAAAGCUGUUAAAUAUGUAACAAAAAGAGGUUGCUAUCACCAUUCUGACAUGAACAAAGCCAUACAGUGAGCUGCCCGAGGUACCUCCAGCAUGGUAUUAAUUACAAACGCAAUAAAAAAAGAAAA